GGCCGCAAUCCAAACAGGAUUCUGCUCCGAUCAGAGGAUAUUCAUGCACCCAUUUAGAUGCACAAAUUGAUUGCCCAAUCCCAGAAAUUUUUCAACAUGCAAUAUGCCAAACAACUGACAGGCUCUAAAAAUCCCGCCAACACCUGGCCACAAACAACUUCUUCUUUGCAUUAAGCAACCCCAAGCGCAGGCGCCUGCAACACGUGGCGGUA